rnacentral:rRNA from 1 species
UACGGGGGGGGCAAGCGUUGUUCGGAAUUACUGGGCGUAAAGGGCUCGUAGGCGGCCAACUAAGUCAGACGUGAAAUCCCUCGGCUUAACCGGGGAACUGCGUCUGAUACUGGAUGGCUUGAGUUUGGGAGAGGGAUGCGGAAUUCCAGGUGUAGCGGUGAAAUGCGUAGAUAUCUGGAGGAACACCGGUGGCGAAGGCGGCAUCCUGGGCCAACACUGGCGCUGAGUGAGCGAAAGCCAGGGGAGCAAACGGG